rnacentral:tRNA from 1 species
CGGAGUUUAGCGCAGCUUGGUAGCGCGCCUCGCUUGGGACGAGGAGGUCGGGGGUUCAAAUCCCUCAACUCCGA